GCGGGGGGGGGGAAUCGGGGGUCGGAGCAACGCCUGGCACUAAGUUGGUUUUUGAUGGUUAUAUAGAGGGAUUCUCUGAGCCAAGGACUUUGUGGCCCCUUUUGGUGCACCCACUAAAGUGGCCCUUUACCUUGUGGUAAAACGUGGCAAUUAAAAUAUUAAAUGCAUAAUGUGAUUUACAUUUAAGGACAUGCAUCCCAAACCUCUAGCUGUAGUCUGUGCUUUAGACAUCUACCAUUUUACCCUUGGAUGGGAAAAAACCCCACGAAUUGUUAAUUUUGUUUUGCUUUCUUAAAGAGUUAUACACGUGCAAUGUUUGGAACAUGGAGUCUCACAAUUUGAGGAAACAAGAAAUUUCUCUUGGAGGAUGUCCAGAUAUGUUUUUAAAUGGUAGAACAUUCAUGUUGUGAAUUCUUCACCAAUUCAUCUGAUUUUUUUCCCCUCAGUUUUUAAAACUGUUCUUAACUCCUUUGUAAUCUGAUGGAUCAAAUUUCCAACACAAAUGGGGAGAUGAACUUCAAGGUUUGUCAAAAAUAUAGAAGGCAAUGUCUUGUAUUUUCCUGAUUUUGUUUAUAAUAAAAAAAUACCU